AGAGCGAACGCUGGCGGCGUGCUUAACACAUGCAAGUCGAGUGCGCGCCUGUAGCAAUACAGGUGGCGCACGGCGCACGGGUGCGUAACACGUGGGUAAUCUGCCCUUCGAUGGGGAAUAACUCCGGGAAACCGAAGCUAACUCCGCAUAACAUUCCGAGAACUUCCGUUUUCGGAUUCAAAGGCGUAAGUCGUCGGAGGAGGAGCCCGCGCACGAUUAGCUAGUUGGUGAGGUAAUGGCUCACCAAGGCUAUGAUCGUUAGCU
rnacentral:rRNA from 1 species